CCUACGGGAGGCAGCAGUGAGGAAUAUUGGUCAAUGGACGAGAGUCUGAACCAGCCAAGUAGCGUGAAGGAUGACUGCCCGAUGGGUUGUAAACUUCUUUUAUAAAGGAAUAAAACGAGGCACGUGUGCCUUUUUGCAUGGACUUUAUGAAUAAGGAUCGGCUAACUCCGUGCCAGCAGCCGCGGUAAUACGGAGGAUCCGAGCGUUAUCCGGAUUUAUUGGGGUUAAAGGGAGCGUAGAGGGGUUGGUAAGUCAGUGGUGACAGUUUGCGGCUCAACCGUAAAAUUGCAAUUGAUACUGGCAGUCUUGCGUCCAGUUGAGGUCGGCGGCAUUCGUGGUGUAGCGGU
rnacentral:rRNA from 1 species